AAACUAAUUACAACAAUAGUCCCAAAUAAAUUUAGCACAAAUAUAUAAUUAAAACUCAAAACUAAAAUAAUAAUAAUAAUAAUAAUAAUAAAUCAUUCAUUUUCUUCUUCCUCUUGUCCAAUUCUAGGUGAUCCUUGGAAUUUAGUAAUUUUAGUGAUUGGUACUCUCAUCUUCUGCAGAAUGUUCUUGGAAAUAUUAUCACUGCCAAUUCAAAAAAUGUUGAGUAUAUGCUCAAAACAAGGUUGGAUAAUUAUCCAAAAGGCAAGACAUUUUCUGCCAUUUUGGGUGAUCUCCUUGGGAGAGGGAUUUUCAACGUCAAUGGUCAUUUAUAGAAGUUUCAGAGGGAAAUGGCUUGUCUAGAACUAGGCAAUCUUUCUGCAAAAUCAUAUGCAUUUGAGAUUGUAGUCCCUGAAAUUCAUUCCAGGCUUAUUCCUCUAUUGUCAUCUGUUGCCGGUAAAGAAAAUGGUGUUCUUCAUUUACAAGAAGUGUUUCAAAGAUUUUCAUUCGAUAGUAUUUGCAAUUUUUCAUUCGGUCAAGACCUCGGCUGCGUAAAGUUGUUACUAUCUGUUUCAGGAUUCGCUGUGGCCUUUGAUCUUGCAUCAAAAUUGUCACUGCCCUAGAGGAAGAAGAUGAAUAAUUUUUGGUUUUUCAGUUUGGAUUUUUAAUUAUAUGUUUGUGAUUAAUUUGUAUUUUUCUUGAAAAUUUGGGAUAAUUAGUUCUUUAUCUUUUCUUUUUGUUUUAUUUUAAUAGCAGGGUAAAAUCGUUUUUAUUGAAAAAAAUGGAUGAAAAUGAUCUUUUGCGCAAUGAAAUGUAAAAAUAAAAAUGAAAAUGUUAAAAAAUAAAAAAUAAGGACAUUUUGCACAAUUACAUCUGAAGGUGGUAGAGAUAUUUUGUGUUAUUUACCAACUAAAAUAUUCUAAUUCUCGAUAUUGAAAAUCAAAAUCAAUUAAUUCGGUCAGGCUCUUGUCCGGUUCCGGUGGUUCGAGUAAAUUGUCAAAGCCACUUAACCGUAGCAACUCCAGUUUCUCGUAACCCCAUCCUCUCUCUCGCACAAUGUACCUAAAGAAGGCGUUCUGGAGCGGCAGUUUGAACUCGGAAUCGAAGUCCGAGUCGCACUCACCUGUGUGAGACCAGGUUAAAUAGCUCGACAAGCAAAGACUUUACAGGGAGGUAACCCUCGCUCUCCGGGUUCUCAUUCCUCCGGGUCACAGGUUUGGGCAACAUUCUCGAGUUUCUCAGAUCCGUCGCCGAGUCAGACUCCACCAUCAGUGUCUUUUGCCACUACCAAUCCAUUCCCGAACUUCAAGGUAUCGUACAACACCCUCCAUUUUCCUUUAUUUAUUUAACUCGAAUUUGAUCUCGCAGAUUGAAUAUAAAAUGUUCAAUAUAUUUGAAUAUCUUUUACUGUGAAGUAUCGUUUCAUGCUUGCGCCUUAGAGAAUUCGAUUCACGUUUUUAAUACUUUUCAAACAAAUAGUGUGAUUACCACAUUGUUGAUGCUUUGGAGCUCAAUGCUAUGAUUAUAACUGACCUUUAAUAUGAGCUAAACAAGUUAUUGAUGGACAAAAAAAAAAGAAAAAAGAGAGAAAUUGUUGGCCUCGAUUUUUGUACCUCUGACGUGACCAACAAAUUGCGGAUCCACUCACGUCCACGUAAGCUCACUUCCUACGCACUCAGACAAACUGUUAGUCACCCCUGACCUUCUCCGAUGGUGAGGGAGAUGGCCAUGAUCAAGUCAGUCAAUAGGAAGAGAUAUAGUGGGUGUGGGACGAGCUUAAAGCGCAAGCCACGAAAGUGUUAAAAGCAUCAUGAAUAUCUACGGAUAUAAGGAUGAGAGCAAUCUUACCAAUUGAGAUUUGCAUUACCCUUUAGUUGGUGUUGGUCAUGGGCUUUUAUAGUUGCAUGGCUGAAGUGGUGGCCAUUAGAUAAAGAAGCACGUGGCUUCAUCAUAACUGUUGAGGCGUCCUAUUAUAGGUUUUCAUGUCAUACAUCAUAAGACCUGCAGCAUUUAAUGUUAUCUGAUAAAGUAGCCACCAUAUUGCUUAGGUCUGCGUACCUAUAUAGUAGGCUAACAAGACUUGAUAUUCUUAUACCGCAAGAGUUCACAUCAAUUAUUAUUAGAUCUUUACGCAGAAGAUCUCUUGGGAGAGACGACUAUGAAAGAUGAGGCUUCCACCUCAUAGCGUGGGCUUUGGCUGAAGUGGUGAAUAGCUUCUUUAUGAGUGGCUUGUAGUAGGAAGUACCUCACUUCAGUCACUGUGCUUCGAUUGAGGUGCCUUGGCUUCGUCAUCUUUGAUGGCAUGGAUUGUGGGUCUUUAGUUGGGCUUCUGGAUGGCUGCCACGUGGACCUUUUCUUGAGCCUCGGUGGCGAGAUGUAACAGAAAUAGCUAGGUGGAGUUAGGUUUCUCGGGUUUUUUCAUUUUUGUCUGGAAGAAACAAGUUAUAAGAGGAAGAAUAUAAACUAUAAAGGUUGUUUAUGGAUCUUAGAAACCAGGAAGGGAAUGAUAGAUAACAACGGGAAAUUUAUCUUCAUAGUUUACUUAACAUAGACAAUAAGGGAGAAGUAAAGGUAUAUUUUUGGUGAAAUAGAGAAGAAGAAGAAUACUCAGUCCUUUCAUUUUGCAUGAUUUUCUUUCUUUUUUUCUGUCGAUUCUAACGAGAACCGAACCGACCCGAAAUUUUCGGGUAUUUAGUAAGUGGAACCGUCGGGUCCAAAUUUAAUUAUGGAACCGUUCGGAUUCGGUCCGUUUCGGUUCCGUAUUGUAAUUAAAUUUUUUAAUGUAUAUAAAGUUACAUUAAUUUAAUUAAUGAUAUGUUCAAUAUUAACUCUUACAAAAUAACGUAGUCCAAUCUUAUGUGUCUUUUACGUCUCUCUUUACUGAAUUCUUCAUAAAUUUGAUUAUAAAAAUCACAUGAAGAGAAAGAUAGCGAGCUCAAAAUAAUUAAGAGAGAUGUUGUAGAAUUUUAAUUUGAUUUUCUCCAGUAGAAACGACACUACAGUAGAGUAACAUAUUUGAAUAAAAUUGAGGUCAAUUUGAUUAAGUUGAUUUUGAAUUGAAAAUUAGAAAUAGAAAAAUAAUAUUUUGUGGUUUGAACUAAAUUAACCAGUUAACAAAUUUAUUUAAAAAAAAUAAAAUAAUUUUGCUUAUUUAAAAUAAAUAAAUUUAAAAAAAUUAAGGAAAUUCGGUUCUUCGGGUCUUGGCCUAGAACCAGAACCGAACUGUACCCGUCGGUUCUUGAUUCAAAUAUCCGUUUGGGUAUUUAAUUUGAGAAUAACCGUUGGGUUCGGUUCGGUUCGGGUUCGGGUUCGGGUUCGGUUCGGGAGUUUUGUCGAGCCCUAGUUGGAAAAAUAGAACAAUUGUCAUCAGAAUGAUUUUCUUUGUAAUAAAGAAUUGAAAGUUUUUACCUUUCUAGAUUAGAUAAUCAGAUUGAAAUUGAGCCAAGCCUGUUCAUUGACCUUUCUCCUGGUAGGGAUAUAUAUUUUUUAAUUUUUGCCUCACCCUUGUUUUCAGGAUUUCCGUCUUUGCAAGCCCUUGUGCAUCAAAAAGUAAGUUGCUUUAAUCUAAUUCAAAAAUCAUUAAGCACCUUUUGUUUCAAAUUAUGCCUUUGAGGUUUCUAAAGUAUUACAAGUAACCACUCAAAAAUCACUCUCUCUUUGUGCAUUUUGGGAUUUGAAUGGUUUGUGAUGAUUGCUUUUGAUGUCACAGUGGUUCCAGUUCUCUUUCGACACUCUCUGAAAGAAAUAGAUGAGCAGAGGGUAACGUAUCUGGACCAUAUAUUUUCUGUCAACGCUGUGAAGAUUAGUCCUUCAAUUGAUGCUGAAGUGGUUCUUGCUCUACUAGUUCUGGAAGUCUUCUUCACCGAGAGAGUACAAUCCUGGCUCAUCGACACAAGCAAUUCAUGUAUGGAUAUAGUCCUUGUUUUCAAACUUGCCUGCCUAAUGAUCUUUAUUAUAUUAUUACUUGUUAUGCAGAACCUAUAGUCUCCCGACCAGCUCUUCUUGUCUGGGUGGAAUUAUGUAGUAAAUUCCACUUUCAAGAUCAAGAGUUCGAGUUGGUAUGAACCCACAUUCAAAAAAAGAACCUAUAAUCUCCUGUACAAAUUUCGGCAAUAUAAGUUACAAAAUACUGGGAUGAUUGUGGAAAAAUUUCCACAGCCGAUCCAUUGAAAAAAAAAAAAAACUUUAUAUUUACCCAAAUCAGAGGCUUUAAUCUUCAAAUUUUUUAUUCUUUAAAGUAUUCGCAGCUAUCAAGUUCAUGAUCCAUUAUUUUGGUGACUAGUACGAAAAUUCAACAUUCUGGUUUCUAAUUGUAAUGCCAAAUUUAUUAUCGUGUGACAUCAAAAAGGUAUUGAUGAAUACUUUAUCAACCCGUGGAGUACUUGAGCAAGAUGCAUGCCUAGAUGCUUUAUCUCAAUUAUGCUGGGAUCAUCUGCCAAUCAAAUGUUAGUUUUGCAGCUGCUAGUUGUUGAGAAAAUCAAGUUCAUUUUUAUAUGAAAAAAUAUACGGGUAGUAGAUGUUGAGUUGCUGCCUUUAAUAAAUUGUGUGUGUGUAUUGUUCAUGCCAAUUAAAUGCAUGCCUGCUCAGCAAAAAGCUAGCGUAGGUUUUUUGGAUUUCCGCUGCUUAUUAUUGUAACAAAAAUCUCUAUAUUGUUAGAACGUGAAUUGCAGAUAUUUGUUCAUGCUUUGUUACAUACUUUCUGAAGAAUUCUGAUUAAGCUUCUGAUCUUAUUUGAUUUUCGUUUAUUAAUGAUGUUUCAGGAUUUUGAGGCAUGCAAUGUGGAGCUAGCAUACGAAAUUUUCGAUUGAAGGAUUAAAUCAUAGCCGGACUUGAGGAGAGGCCCAAGAGGCCAUCGCCUCAGGCCCACAUCUUUAGAGGGCCCAAAAAAAUGAUUUAUUUUUUUGGAUUUUUCAUUUUUUUUAUCCUUAAAUCCCACUAAUAACAUUCAAAACGUCCAAUAAUUGUCCCACUAAAUAAAAACCUAAGCCUCCUCCUAAAUUCUUAACUUCUCUAAAAUCCAACCCGUUUAUACUAAUUCACUCUUGCUCCAUAUAAAAUAAGGCUUCUUCAACAAUUAUAUCAUGAAUCCCGGUAACAAUACUGUUUACAUUUGAAGUUAAAUUGCUUGAAUUUUUUUUUUUAUUGAUUUGCCCGUUCUAUUUUAUUUAUAUUUGUUUUAUAUAUGAUUUGCAACAAAAAUUAAUUGUUUUAUGUAUAUCUAGAUUUUAUUAGUUUCUAAUUACUUUUAUAAACGCCAUAGUUUUUAAAUUAACCGGUUUUUAUAAAAUAAAGCCUUUUCAUGGAUUUUUAUUGAUUUUGCAUUUGUGUGCCUGCAUUAUUUAUUUUUUCUUUUUCUUUUUAUCUCACAUUCGGAAAACUUUAUAGUUUAUGAUCAUGUAAGAAACAAAAAGCCACUGAGGUUUGAGAGUUUGGAAAAUUAUAUAUUUUUUUGUUGUUCAUACAAGUAUUUUCAAUAAUAAGUUUGUUGUGGGAUUAUUUACUUUGCUUCAUUGGAAUUUUUGCAUUGCUCUAUUAUUUGGUCUCUAUUUUGGUGCCAAGUGUGAAUGUGGUGGUUUUGGUGGUGCUGCAAGUUUUGGAUUAGAAAUACUCAUUUCAUUGUGUACCAGUUUAAGUGUACUCUAUACCCCUUUCUUUGGAUCAAAAUUUUCACCUACUUUCUGAACAUGCUGCACACAUUUUGGUUGCUAUUUUUCUUUGAUAUUGAUGCAAUAUUAGAUUGACUUUUCAAUGUAAGAUAUGCAAACAUCUCCACAAAACUCGUAUAGUUUCAACCCAAUCACAUAAAAUAGGAGGCAUGGGUUCAAGAAAUUUUAUUAUGGUUUUCUUUGAGUGUUUUCUAUAACUCAAUGAUGGUAUAUAUGGAUUCAAUUGCCUUUGACUUACGACUUAUGAGGGCUUCAUGAAUAUUGACUAUCAACUGAUUAAUUAAUUAUUAUGUAUUAAUUUAUGUUGUCAUUCUUAUGAAUUUGCCUUAUGGUUGGAUAAUUUGACUAUUCAAAAUUGAUUUUUUUUUGUCUCUAAAAUCGCAAAAUGAGUUGUAUUAAAGUUAUCGUUUAAAACGUUAUAAUAUAAAUAUCUUGUAUAUUUAUUUUAUUUUAUUUGUUGUUUUAUUGUUGAUUUUAACUUAACAAAUUUAAUUCCAUAAAACUCUUAUAAAUGAAAAAAAAAAAAAAAAAAAAAGACUGCUUGCUAUGAUUUAGGAGCCCAAAUUCUGAAAUUCGCCUCAGGCCUCACGAAACACAUACGGCCCUGGAUUAAACUAUUGAGGAAGUUGCUCUUCUUAUGAGAGACAAACACAGAGAGGAAAGUAUGAGGUAUCUCUGGUUUGCAACUAAUAUCAUCACUGGAAGGUCUUAACUCUUACAAACGUAGAAGUAAGAAUCAAUUUAUAUUUUCUCGAUGGUAAAAACUAAAUAGUCAUUGUCCAAAUCUGAGUGUGUUUCUAUUUCUGUAUUUUUUAAGAGAAUACAUUUCUUGUUCCAUAUGUAUUUGGAAAUUUUGCCAACUGGCUGAUAGU
rnacentral:lncRNA from 1 species